rnacentral:misc_RNA from 1 species
UUUCCGUAGGUGAACCUGCGGAAGGAUCAUUAAUGAGUUGUCAUGGGGUUCGAUGCUGGCAGCCAAUUUUUGGAUGCAUGUGCUUGCCCUAACAAUCAUCUUCCAAACACCUGUGCACAUUUUUGAGGGAGUCUUGAGUUGGUUGCCGCUCUUGGGUGAUUUUCUCACAUUCCCUUAAAUCAUUAUACGCAAUUAACAAUGUUGAACGUGCUCUGUGCCGCAAGGCUAUUAAUAUAAUACAACUUUUAACAACGGAUCUCUUGGCUCUC